rnacentral:rRNA from 1 species
AAUGAACGUUGGCGGCGUGGAUUAGGCAUGCAAGUCGAGCGAGAACCGGUUUCGGCCGGGGACAGCGGCGAACGGCGUAGUAAUGCAUCGGAACGUACCCUCUGGUCGGGGAUAGCUACGGGAAACUGUAGGUAAUACCCGAUAAACUCUGCGGAGCAAAGGUGAGAUUCCGCCGGAGGAGCGGCUGAUGUGAUAUUAGCUAGUUGGUGGGGUAAAGGCUUACCAAGGCGAUGAUGUCUAGGGGGUGUGAGAGCAUGGCCCCCACGACCGGAACUGAGAUACUGUCCGGACACCUACGGGUGGCUGCAGUCGAGAAUCUUCCGCAAUGGACGAAAGUCUGACGGAGCGACGCCGCGUGCGGGAUGAAGGCCCUUGGGUUGUAAACCGCUGUCAGAGGGGAUGAAAUCUCCGAAGGUACUCCUUCAGAGUUGACAGAGCCUCAAAGGAAGCACGGGCUAAGUACGUGCCAGCAGCCGCCGUAAGAC